rnacentral:rRNA from 1 species
CCCUUAGAUGUUCUGGGCCGCACGCGCGCUACACUGACGAAUGCAACGAGCUUAUAACCUUGGCCGAAAGGUCUGGGUAAUCUCCAAAUUUCGUCGUGAUGGGGAUAGAUUAUUGCAAUUAUUAAUCUUCAACGAGGAAUGCCUAGUAAGCGCAAGUCAUCAGCUUGCGUUGAUUACGUCCCUGUCCUUUGUACACACCGCCCGUCGCUCCUACCGAUUGAAUGGUCCGGUGAAGCGUUCGGACCGUGGCCUUUGGACGGUUCGCCGUCUGUUGGCUGCGGGAAGUUCGUUAAACCUUAUCAUUUAGAGGAAGGAGAAGUCGUANCA